UUUUAUUUAAUUUCCAGCGAGACUAUUCAAGCCAUUGACUCACUGAUGAAUGAAGAAGAGCGAUCGGCAAAGGCAAUCUGUGGGCAUCACAAUAUCGCUCUAAUCACAUUCAGAAGACAGUUGAAGAAACUUGUAUGGACUUAUGGAAUGGCUCGGCAUGGAUCAAAGCUGGCGAGACAUUCAAUGACGUCAUGUUCACAGACGAAUCAACCGUGGCCCUUGAGCAAUUUGUUCAAAAUUACUACAAAAAACAAAGGAAGAAGUUCAAGCAGGCGGAGUCCCAAGCAUUCGCUCAAACUCCAUGUGUGGGGGACAAUUUCGCACCAGGGAUCAGGCCUAUAUUUGAUUUUUGAUGGUAUCAUGGCUCAAGAUUUCUUUGAGGAAGAAAUCAUCAAGAGAAAUGCUGGACCCUAUGUCAGAGAGGUGUUUCUGGGUACACAUAGUUUCUUUCAAGACAAUGACACAAAACACACUGCAGCCCGGGUUUGCAUUGCAAAUGAGGGCAUAACCUGGGUUAAGAUGCCAGCAGAGUUCAGGAAAGCACCUUCUCACCCUCAGCUGCCCCUGAUGUCACCAGGCAGGCCAAAACUCCAUCCCGACAAAACAAGCAGACAUUUCCAGCGGCUUUUCAAACAACUUGUACACUAACAGGGCAUUAUCAUCAUUUUCACAGUACAAUUCCAACCUCAUAGUGUAAAAAAAAAUGUAUAUAUGUACUCAAUGGGUAGUUGCUCGGCAACCUAUCUUAUUGUCUCAGACAUGUUCAGAAAGGGUGGAAGACGAUGACAAAACCAAG
ensembl:lncRNA